ensembl:lincRNA
UUUUUCCAGAGAACUUUCCGGGCUCGGAUUGGCCGCGCCGGUCGAUGUUCCGCCCUUUCAUUGGCCCGCGGCGCCCGCUUUCGCGAGCCUGCCCUUGGGCGGGGGCGGGGCCGGCGGCGGCGCGCGGCGCUAGAUUGGUUAGCGGCGCAGAGGGGCGGGCCCGCGCCGCGCGCAGCGCUCGGGCUGGAGCGCCUGAAGCCGCGACCGCCGCCUCAGCCGCCUCAGCCGCGGUCGCCGCCGCUUCUGCCGACUUAGGCUCCGCCGCCGCCUCCUCACCCGCCUCGCCCCGACCCCGCCCGGGCCUCCCGGCCUCUCCCCGCCGGCCCGUGGGCUCGCCGUCCGGCGCAGGGCAGGACUGUCUACGAGAGAGAAGCUCCCCACGUGGUUCCGUUUAACCUGACCAUGUAGACCAGCAGGAGCUGGAGGGCCAGUUGUUAGUGCACUUGGAGCCUACUGCACGAGCCUACCGCACGAGCCUACUGCACGCCUUUGUUCUUGUGCCAACAGUGCCCACUGCCCGGUAGUGCCUGUGUGUGCGGUGGCCGUGAUGGCACCACAAUGUCUGAAGCCACACAGUGCGUGGGUGACAUCUGUGGAAAGGACCUGGCACCGGCCAGCACACAGAGGCACUCACCUGUCUCACACAAUGCACUGUGGUCCCAAUUCUAGUUUUGUAAAACUACCUCGAGAUGACUCCUUUUAAAAUUAUCCUUAAGAUGUCUUUCUUUUUCUAAAGCUUAUUAAAGGUCAUUUUCAAAACGUUUUCAGCAGGAACUUGGUGUAUAUUUGCAGUUCUGCAUGGGAAACUAAUGUAGUCAUGAUGGCUGCUGAUGCUGAUGAAGUAGUACCAGCCACCCUGAUUUCAUAACUUCCAUAGAAUCACUCCCUUCUUCCUCCCAGUGCCCCUUUGAGAUAGGGAUUGUUAUUCCCUGAGGCUUGGCGAGGUGAAGUAACUCACUCAGGUUAUCUUGGUGCCAGUGGUGGGGCUGGGAUUUGAGCCAAGUCUUCCAACUUCACAAUAGCAGAGUAAGAAGAGCUGCCUUGUUGAUGGGACGUGGGUCGGAGCUCCCAGUGUGUCUUGCCUUCCUGGUGUGCUUGAUGGCAGCCCUGGGCUGCUGUGAGGUCCUGAGCACAGUGCAUCCUGAGGAGACAGUGCUGCGGGCCCCGCCUACUAACUUCCAGAGAUGUCAGCUGCAGCUGCAGCAGGGCAGCGCCCUGGUUAGAGAGACAGCAUGGGGAGUUGGCAGGGGGAGGCCCUCGGAGAGUUGGCAUGGGGAGUUGGCAGGGGGAGGCCCUCGGAGAGAUGGCAUGGAGGGGUUGGGGCCUGUGCUCCUAGGUGCUUAGGCUUGCAGGUGACUGGAAUCCUGACUAAUAUCGUAAGAGGAGAGUUCUUACUAACAAAUUACUUGAACAAAGACUUUGUUUGUUCCUUCAUUCGUUCAGCACAUGUUUACAGUGUGCCUGUGAUGUCCCAGGCGCACUGCCAGAAUCCUGACAUCCUUGCGGGGGGAUCGAAAACAUAAAUCUAGUCAGUGAGUUCAUCCUGUGGCAUGUCAGGGGGUGACAGUGGCUGUGGAGGAAACAGGGAAGGGCAGGGUGUGGGAGUCCUGGUGCUGCGUGAAUAGGCCAUCAGGUCAGCCCUGAGACACGGGGCAUCUGCGCGAGUCUUGCUGGAGGUGCACGUGUGAGCCCCUUGGUGCAGGAGGUGAGGAGCUGCAGGGCCAAGGGGGUUUGGAGCAGAAGCUCGGGUCUGACAUGCCUGGUGCAUCCAUGGGGCAGUGAGGAGGCUGCGGGGCAGGAGGUGAGAGUGCAGCUGGGGCACAUCAGGGGUCUCACAGGUCAUCCCGAGGCUGCUCUCAGUCCACGUGGCGUCGGGGCUGAGAGGAGCCCACAGCAGGGUGGGUGUGGGAGCAGGGAGCCAGCCAGUCUCUUCUCUGUGCUAGGUUAUUGUUGUGGCUUUAGCUAAAGCUGCUGUAAUACCUGUUUCUUAGAGGAAUCCAAAUCCCUGUUGCCUUGGGGCCAACUUUGUAAUCUUACAAAUCUGGAUCUAAUUUUCACCAAACUCUCAAGGGAAGAGCCUCUGGGACUCAGACAGAUAAACAACACCUGUUAUGUGCUGUUCCCAUUUUCUCUUCGACUUUGGUGUUGUCCAAAUUCUUCUGAGCCUAACUGUAGGCUCUUCAGACCCAGCCUACAGUUCUGGAAAUAAACCAGCGUGCUGGGGUGGGGCGAGCCCAACCAUGCAAGCCAUGCCCCGGCAGCCAGGCUGAGAGGCAGAGCAAGCAGUGCAGGUGGACCCAUCGCCUGCCAGCAUGUGGGUUCUGGAGGCUGCAGCAGGCAGAUUCUGGAAAUUCCCUGAGGCCUUCGUUCAGUACAGACAGGGAACUUUUAUAGGUACCUGUGGCCUCUUCUGCUGGUGGGAAUGGAGGUGCCAUGAGCACUGAGCUGGUUGGAACAGAAGGGCUCUCCUCUCGUGGGCUGUGUCGAGUGAGUCCUGCAGCUUCCUGCUGUGAGAUUCUGGGGUGCCAUGAUGAAGCAGAGCGGAGCUCAUCUGAGUGGAUGUUUCCCAGGGGAGCCAGUAGUUUUGGAAGCACUUGGUUUUUCCAUUCCCAUGUCUUGGAGGACUCUUCCCCCUUCCUGAGAGAGAGCGAUGAAUGUAGGCCUCCAUGGAGAAGCACAGGUGCCUUCCCCGGGCUGUGUGUGGUCCGUGCAGACCUCUCAGGUCCACUUCAUUUUGCAGGUAAGGACCCAUCUCCCAUAGCUGGUUAGUGCCAGAGCCCACUCCUAGCCCCAUGUAGGGGCUGUUUUUCAGCUACAGCAAGAUCAGGAAAUAAGAAGUAGUAAUGAACACUUCAUUGAAGAUUUUUAUUUACUUUGAGGUCUUUUAUUUCUUGUAAUACUGAAUUGGUUAUUUGCUUCUUAGAGUUUUUUUUUUUUUUUUGAGACAGUCUAGCUCUGUCGCCCAGGCUGGAGUGCAGUGGUGCCAUCUUGGCUCACUUCAAGCUCCGCCUCCCGGGUUCACGCCAUUCUCCUACCUCAGCCUUCUGAGUAGCUGGGACUACAGACGCCCGCCACCACGCCCAGCUAAUUUUUUGUAUUUUUAGUAGAGACGGGGUUUCACCGUGUUCGCCAGGAUGGUCUUGAUCUCCUGACCUCGUGAUCCACCCGCCUCGGCCUCCCAAAGUGCUUGGGAUUCCAGUCGUGAGCCACUGCGCCUGGCCUAGAGUUUUUUGCUUUCUUUAAGAUAACAAUUUUCCUUAUAGAACUGAAAAAUAUGAAAAAGAAUUUAAAAAUUCACCUAUGCUUAGCCUUAGUGCAGAGAGCAGCUGAAGGGUAUCAGGGGAUUGUCCUCACCCCUUCCUGUCCUUGGCCCCCUGGGUAGCCCCCCCAUCUUCAUCAGCCCACCCCUUCCUGUCCAUUGUCCUCUGGGUGGCCCUUCGCGGUGGAACCCCCAGCUUCAUCAGCACCCUCCGCAUUUCCUCUGGGUGGCCCCCCAUCUUCAUU